GACGAACGCUGGCGGCGUGCUUAACACAUGCAAGUCGAACGAAAAUACCAAGCUUGCUUGGUUGAUUAGUGGCGAACGGGUGAGUAACACGUGAGUAACCUGCCCCUUACUUUCCUGGAUAACUGCUCGAAAGGGUAGCUAAUACGGGAUAUUCUGACUAGCCUGCAUGGGUUGGUUUGGAAAGGUUGUUUUUCUGGUAAGGGAUGGGCUCGCGGCCUAUCAGCUUGUUGGUGGGGUGAUGGCCUACCAAGGCUUUGACGGGUAGCCGGCCUGAGAGGGUGGACGGUCACACUGGGACUGAGAUACGGCCCAGACUCCUACGGGAGGCAGCAGUGGGGAAUAUUGCACAAUGGGCGCAAGCCUGAUGCAGCGACGCCGCGUGAGGGAUGAAGGCCUUCGGGUUGUAAACCUCUUUCGUCAGGGAACAAGGCACUGCUUUUUUGGUGGUGUUGAGGGUACCUGGAUAAGAAGCGCCGGCUAACUACGUGCCAGCAGCCGCGGUAAUACGUAUGGCGCAAGCGUUGUCCGGAAUUAUUGGGGCGUAAAGAGCUCGUAGCGGCCGGUCGCGUCUGUCUUGAAAACUUCCGGCUCAACCGGGGGCUUGGCGGGUGGGUACGGGCCGGCUAGAGUGCGGGAGGGGUAACUGGGAACUCCUGGUGUAGCGGUGGAAUGCGCAUAUUCAUGAAGAACACCGAUGGGUGAAUGUGGGGUUCUGGUCCGUUACUGGCGCUGAAGACGAAUGCGGUGUGAUCGUACAGUAUUAUAUACCCUGGGUGUCCAUGGCGAAUUCUGUGUGUGAUUUUUAUUGUUGCAACGUUGUGCUGCGUGGCGUGAACCAGAACAAAAUGAUUGUAUAUGUUGUUAUGUUUUAUGUGGUUUGUGAUGCUUUUUAUUGUGUGUUUGUGGGUGUGUACUGUGGUGUGUUUUCGUGUGUUAUGUUUGUGUUUAUUGUUGUGAGACUAUGUUGUGUGUGGGGGUGAUGUAGGGGGUGUGUUUUUUUGGUGGUUGUGUGUAUG
rnacentral:rRNA from 1 species